GGCUGUGUGGUCUAGUGGUAUGAUUCUCGCUUAGGGUGCGAGAGGUCCCGAGUUCGAUUCUCGGCACAGCCC
rfam:Perkinsus marinus ATCC 50983 gcontig_1104296738448, whole genome shotgun sequence.